rnacentral:rRNA from 1 species
GAGUUUGAUCCUGGCUCAGAAUCAACGCUGGCGGCGCGCUUAACACAUGCAAGUCGGACGAGAAAGCCGGGGCAACCUGGUGAGUACAGUGGCGUACGGGUGAGUAACACGUGGGUAAUCUACCCUGGAGUGGGGAAUAACCCUGGGAAACCGGGGCUAAUACUGCAUAAGCCUGAGAAGGGAAAGCCGAAAGGCGCUCGAGGAGGAGUCCGCGGCCGAUUAGCUAGUUGGUGAGGUAAAGGCUCACCAAGGCGAAGGUCGGUAGCCGGCCUGAGAGGGCACACGGCCACACUGGCACUGACAUACGGGCCAGACUCCUACGGGAGGCAGCAGUGGGGAAUCUUGCACAAUGGAGGAAACUCUGAUGCAGCGACGCCGCGUGAGCGAUGAAGCCCUUCG